rnacentral:rRNA from 1 species
GACGAACGCUGGCGGCGUGCUUAACACAUGCAAGUCGAACGGAAAGGCCCUGCUUUUGUGGGGUGCUCGAGUGGCGAACGGGUGAGUAACACGUGAGUAACCUGCCCUUGACUUUGGGAUAACUUCAGGAAACUGGGGCUAAUACCGGAUAGGAGCUCCUGCUGAAUGGUGGGGGUUGGAAAGUUUCGGCGGUUGGGGAUGGACUCGCGGCUUAUCAGCUUGUUGGUGGGGUAGUGGCUUACCAAGGCUUUGACGGGUAGCCGGCCUGAGAGGGUGACCGGCCACAUUGGGACUGAGAUACGGCCCAGACUCCUACGGGAGGCAGCAGUGGGGAAUAUUGCACAAUGGGCGGAAGCCUGAUGCAGCAACGCCGCGUGCGGGAUGACGGCCUUCGGGUUGUAGACCGCUUUCGCCUGUGACGAAGCGUGAGUGACGGUAAUGGGUAAAGAAGCACCGGCUAACUACGUG